ensembl:lncRNA
CUGAGGUGAAAGGAGGUCAUGUUGUUACAAAACAUGAAGUGAGUUCCCUCACCCGUUGCACAGCAAGCCAAUCUCUGACACCGGGGGUGGUGGAAGAAAGUAGGAACUUUACUUUUGCACAGCGCUGAGCAAGGAGAGAGGGUAGCUAACGCUGAAAUCCCAAACUCCCCGAAAAGCUAAAAGGAAGGGUUUCUAUUUGGGGUUUCAGGUAGGGGAGGGGGAGCAUAUGGCCUUGCUGGUCGGAGCUUUCCCAACCAGCCUGUCUUCGGCCUUGAGACAUUUACAGAGAGGAGGAAGCCUGUGACCUUGCUGGUCAGCAGCUUUCCCACCAGUCUGUAUCUCUUUGUGGGAGGAGAUAGUCCAGGUGCUUGUCCUUGACGGUGUCCGUCUCCAUGGAGGAUAGUGGAUUCUGGAGCCAGGAAGCCAGAGAGUAAGCAGGGAAUGAGUGUUUUGGUUUUAACCCCAUAUAUGCUGGGUUUAACGUGGGGAAACUGAUGUCAGGGUCGAUAUCAAUGUGGGUGGGUCCUAAUCCAAUAUAACGGAUGCCUUAUGAGAAGAGGAGAUCGGGACACACACACAGAAGAAAGACCGUGUGAAGACACUGCAGGAGGACGGCCGUCUCUGAGCCAAGAAGUCGAGGAGAGAGAACUUAGAAGAAGCCAAGGCUGCCAACACACUGAUCUCAAACUUCUAACCUCCAGAACGAUGAGAAAAUGACUCUCCGCUGUCUAAGCCACCCAGCCUGUGCUGCUUGUUGUGGUGGCCCGAGCAAAUGAGUAGGCCUCUUUCCAACUCUUGGAUUUAGUUAUCCACCCUUAGAAUUUAAAUACUAUGAUUGAGAGAAAGUAAAGAAUUGAAGAACUCUGGCUUUGAAUGUUAUUAAAUUUGAAAUGACUGAGAAAUCACUACUUGGCCAAGUUUACCUGAGAACAAUUAAGCUAAAUUUUCUGCUUUCAGUUAGAAGUGAGGGCUUGUGUUGCUUAUUUGCCGAUCUCUGAACCCAACAUCUCCCCUUUAAUACUUUAUCAGAGCGUAGGAAUCUGAAAAUUACGUUUUGUGCUACUUUGCCAUCUGGCCCUUGGUAAGAUUCAGUCAGGAGAAGAAAUUUUCAGGAGAUCAGUAGGCAAGAGAAACGGAAAUGCUUUAUGCUUCUGGCUCUCAGAAUGAGGCAGGUCCUGGCAGUUUCUGGCAGCUGCAGGUUGAGAAAUAACGGGGUCAAGCUGUUUCUACCUCCAGCACUGCAGAGAUAACACCUUUCAGAAGCCCAGGCCUGGUCAAAGCAGCUCAUCUCAGCAGAUCCGUUAUGUACCGGAACACCACACCCAACAGUGCAGCAGCUGGUGGAUUCAGAGACUUUCAGCCUUGGGGCAUUAGUAGCAUCUGAUCUCUGAGUAUCAUUCUUCCUUUCCUUUCACUCUUGCAGAUCCCGCCCCCUUGCUCCUUCCAAUAUCUUUUCAUCCAAUUCCCUAUAUUAAAUCCUUUGGUUUGACACACUCGGGCUGGUUUCUGUGAUCAGGACUGCCUCACAAAGGCCUUGAGACAGACUUGAACUUGGGUAACGAAAAUAAGGUGACGUAUACAAGCAUGUUUAUGCAGCACUGUUAGUAAUAGCAAAACACUGGAAACAACCAGCCAUCAAUCUGAUGAUGGAUAACUCAUGAUAUAUUUGCACAAUCAUAUAAUUAAAAGUAAUGAAAGUAGACAAACAAUAGCACACACACUAGGGAAGAUGAAUCGUAGUGCUGAGUAAAGAAAGUCACAGAAAAUUACCGUUUUUAUGAAGCUGAUACUACUUAUAAAAAGCUAAUAACACAUCAUGCAAUAUAUUGUUUAGAGCCAUAUCCCUAUGUGGGGAUAAACAGAAGAGAAAAUAAGCACUAAAUUUAGAAUAUUGUUUAAUUCUGUGUGGUAGGCAAAAGGAUGGAAUCAGGGAGGAAUGCAUAGAUAACUUCAAAAAUACUUGUAAUGUUCUAAUUCUGAAGUUGGGUACCGUAUCUUGAGUGUGAAUUCUAUUUUAUUGCACGUGUGUGUGUUGGUAUAUACUAUUUUUUGUAUUUCCAAUGCUACACGACAAAAGCAAUUUUUAGAAAGGGAGUCAUUUAUUGUCCACUCAACUUUGGAGCCAGAAAAAUUCCCAAUAGAUACGUAGAUUAUAACAUAUAUCUAAAUCUGUUUUCUGGACUUCUAAUUUGUUUUAUUUGGUUAUCUAUUCACUAACCAGCACCCCACUGUUUUAAUAUUUUAAAUUUAGAAUGUCUUAAUAGCUAAUAUUGGCAGAUCACCCUUUUUAACAUUGGGCAUGCUAUCCACAACAUCGUAACUUAAAAUAUUGACUUUCAUUAUUAUGAAUGACUUGCCUUUUAUUCUUAAUUAGCGACAUGUUAAUUUUAUUUCUUAAUGCAAUAUUUCAGUGGCCAUGCUUUUGUGUUUUAAAAUUGGCUACAUUCUUUGAAUUGGAAGUUUUAAAUAGGAUAAAAUUAGAGAUGAUUUUUAAGAUAAAUGUAUCCUCAUAUAUUUUUAAUGUAGACACUUUUUUGGCAAACACAUGAAUAAAAUUUGGGAAGUAAAUCUUUGCUUUACACAGGAAAAGAAAAUUUCACUGAAAUGUCAGAAAGAAAGAGAAUUCAAUUUGUUAAUAGUAUCCUAUAGUGAUUCAUUAUUUUUCACUAAAGUAACAGCAAAUAAAAUUAAAAAUCUUGAACUGUUUUAUGAAUGCUCUUUGCAAGUGAUAAUUCUAAUGAAAGUCUAUCUGCGCUUUAAAGGUGAGAAUGAUCAUUGAACGAGAUAAAGAACAGGAUUCCAUUUUAGCAGUAGCUUAGAAAAACAAGAACGCUGUGUGUUAAAUUUUGGAAAGUCGUACUUAUUCUUUCCAAUGAGUAAAACAUAAUUUGGUCCAUUUCAGCCACAACUUGCGACAUAAAGGAUGCAAGUUAGGAAAUGGUCCCUUGGCCCACUCGCUACGCACGCAGAUCCGGUCAAAUGGAAAAGAUGUGAUUUAAAUGACUUACCUUUAAGUUUCUUUGCAUGUAAAACAAUAAUAAUGAUAAUCAUAAUUAUGAUUAUCAUUAUAGGGUUGACUAAGGAGUUAGCAACCUGGCCGGUUUUAAAUCUUUGACAUUCACUUACUUGCCAAGUUAUUGAAAUCACGCAGUUAUGUGAGAGUCAUUCUCUCAAUCAGCAGAGGUCAUUUCCCACUAAACCCGUGUCCGCUUUGCUCUUUUAGGACAACACGGUGGGCAUUUUUUGUGGUAUCAUGAAAUUACCUAUAUCCGCAACUCAUACGAUGUAACACAUUUGUUAUAUACUCAUUUCUGUGUAAACUAAGGGAAAAGAAGAGAAAAAAUACACACAGAAUGAAAAUCAGUCUUCUCUUCAUUGGUUUAUUUUUUACUUUUUUUAAUGGAAAAAUCAGCAUUGUCUCACAGCUAAAGAAACAGAGGCACAAAUACAGUCGGAAAGGAAAUCAGGAAUUUUCUCCUAUUUGUGGAAACUGAUGGCUUAAGUUUGUCCAAAACAAACCUCACUAUUUAGGAAAGAAAUUCUAUCUAAUGCAUUUAUUUGGAAGACAUUUUUAUAAUAUCCUUAAGAAUCUGUGGGUUAUUUUGGAAAAAUCUUCCCCGUUUUUAGGGAUACUGAUUUCGUUGUCGCUAAGCAGCUGCCUAUGACCUUGAACAAAGGAGAAGUCUUGGAAUGCCAUCCUGCGGUCUGCAUGGACCUGUUCUCUCCAGUUAUUGCACAAAGAAACAGUUUAAUUCCACUUGGAAUAUAGGUCUGUUUGAGUUUCAGGAAAUAGUAGAGUACUGUUGAUCAUUUGUGAACUAGAACAAAUCAGCCACAAGAGGGCAUAAUUUUCUUGGUUUCAUCAUUUUUAUACAAAUAAGGCAUGCCUUGAGUAGGUAUCCUAAGAAUCCCUCCUCCUCCCCCACCUUCUCUCUGGCUGUCUUAGAAGAAUACACUGUAUCUAAAGUAUGCUCUAGGGGUGGAGCGGUGUUGGCAUGAGUUAUUAAGAAAAGCAAAGUUUAAGAUGACAUUUUUUCAUAUAUGAUGUAAGUUAUAUGAUGAUGAAAGUUGUUUAUUUUUCCUAAAAUCCUUCCUUGGGGAUGUUGGUUGAUGUAAGAACAUUGUUGAAAAUUUAAAAAAUUAAAAAACAAGGAGUCGUUUGUUUGACUAUAACCCCCCGCCCCUCCUUUCUGCAACAGCUGUGUGGAGUCCUGUAUCAGGCACAGAAAGGCUUUCUGAUCUCUAGCAAAUGUUCAUGGGUUUUCUUUUCUGAGGUCUCAGGACUUGAGCCAAAGGGGUUGGGCUGUGUUUUUAUUUUUAUUUUGAAGUGCAUUCCUGCUGAAUUUAAUUAUUCACCACACCCCAACCCAGCUGAGUAAAUAGAACCUUCAGAUUCUGGCUUGGAAAGGUUUUGAGAAACAGCUGAUUUCUUCCUUUUUGUUUCAAGGAAAGUCUCUGUGGCAGGGUGCUGUACUGCGGAGGGCGGUGAGGCCGGAGGAGCAGCUGGUGAUCCUUCCUUCUUCUUGGUCUUGGUUUCCUCACGUAUAACAUCAGGGCUGUGAGGUCUCCAGGCCUCUCCUAACUCUGAAUGUUUAUGACUAUUUAUCAUCUUAUGAGUUUAAAACUAAAGGACACAAAGCAAAGUUCUAACAGUUUUACCUUCUGAUUAACUGACCAUAAAUGAUCUUCUGUCCUUAUCUGGUGAUGAGAAUCAGGGAUACAUUGACUUCUGAGGGUUCUAUGGAUUAUAUAAGUAAUACCGAAAUACAGAUAAAAGUCGUGUGUUCUUUUCUCUCACUAAAUAGGAUCUAAUGAUUUUAAUAUGUAAUUAAGGAUCCAGCGAUGAUUAGAUUGCCACAAUCAAAUGAAACAGAUGGCAAAAGAAAUAUCUGAAGUUUAUAAAGGGCAAACACCUGAUGGAAGAUCAGGAGGUGGGUGAUUGCUCUCAGCCCAUGCCAUCACUGGUUCCAGUUAGACAGAAACUAACAUAUAUUCCAGUUUUCCCAUAGGAGUAUAACAACAUUUCCCAUCUGUCAGUACUGAUAUGUUAAGAUGCGGGAGCACAUUCAUAAAGUAGCAUUUGUCAUAAGGCAGAGAGGUGUUAUGUAUGACCAAAGUAUGAUUAGUUUUAUAGAAGUGACACUGAAAGGCUUGGGUUUCAUCUCCAUUUUCCUUGUCUCUCGCAUACGACUUUGCAAUUUGUCUUGAUGUAUUUCCUUUCAAAUUUUCCAAAGUUGUCUUUGUUUUGUGAAUAGAAAACUGUACAGAGAGACUAGGACUAAAGACUUUGUUGGAAAAGAACCACAGGCUAGUACCUUCUGCUGAAAGUGCAGCCAGAUCCUCUGAGAUCCUGCUAGAUUUAUAUUCUCGACCCGGUAAUGAUCCUUCUCCUUUCUUCUGGGCAGAAGCAGCUAUAUGUGGAGUUGGAGAAGCCUAGAAUAUCCCCAUUCUCGCUCUACCCACCCCUGCUGCCUUGCUCUUUGACUGCCCAACAUAGAUCCAUGAUUCCUGAAAUUCUACAAUUAGAACUUCAUUCUUUGGCUUCAUUCAGCAUCCAAAUGUAAACCUUUGAGAAAUAGUGUAUUUCACGUUAUCUAACAAAUACCUACUAACAUAUGGUAAGAAUCACUUACUCAGAUUCAAUGUGCGAGCCCUAAGGGCGAUGGGUGAGGGGUGGUAUGUCACAGAGAAAGAGUUGUGACAAGAUUACUUAUUGAACAAUUUUCCAAGCACCUGGAAAGUACUGUUUUUUCUUUCCUUAUUUUUUCCCUCUCAGACUGAAACAGGCAUAGCUACAGCAAUUAGGUAGCUCUAACUGAUGAUAUACACAGCUCUUUCAGUGCAACUAAGGAUCACUUGUUGAAUCUUGAAUAGCCACUCUUGGAAAUCAGCUACACUGUAGAAUACACCUUCCAUUUGAACCAAACUUAAUGUCAAAUAGACUUUUCCCACUGAG